AACUAUAUAGUUUAUAAUAAAAUUCUAAAUUGCAAGUUUAGAGAAAUCAGAUGAUUGUAGUUU
rnacentral:tRNA from 1 species